AACAAAAACGGCACCCUCGCUAUGUUUGGAAAGUCGCUUUUCUUUUAUCUUUACAGUAAGUUAUCGACUUUAAGGUAUAAGCUGGAGGAAAUAGACAUGAAAGGAAAUAUUUUAUGGAGUGGGCAUUUUAAUGCACACUAUUCGUAAUGGUGGCGACACCAGAAAUACGAGUUGUUAAUCCAGAUGCCCGUGCACACCGUCACUCGGCCCUACUUGAGACAACCAAAGAGGCUCGUUAGUACCGGGUGAGAAGUUUGGUCUUCCCCAAACCUCCACUGGAGCUGCUCAGCCAAAUCACUGCAUUGACUCACGCAGAGAAGCUUCUCCGAGCAGAGGGUGUCCACGCGCCUUCACGUCAGCAGUGUCUGGGAGAGCUGGUGGUGCCAUUAGGACAAUAUGAAAAGGCACCGCUUUGAUGGCUCAUUACAAACGAUGUGGGAUAUAUGAAGUACAUACUUGACAGGUGCAGAACAGAGCUGACAAACCCACAAAGAAACGGAGAGAUGGGGAACCAGUGGGUGAAGGAUUACCUCACAGAAUAUGUGGAAAGUUUCCCUCGAAUCUCCGUAGUCCUCAAGGCCAACAUUGAUGGGUGCAUCUAUGGUCAGAAUGGGUUUGAAGGUCACACCUUUCAAGAGAUGUGGGAAUUAUAUUUUGAGUACAGGAGCCAAAAGGACAGACCUGAGAAGUACAGUGAUAAGCAUUCAGAGGGCACACAGUUCUGUGAAGAGGUGGUUGAACACAAAAGGGACCCACGUCACAAGGUUCAGAAAAUAUAUAUACGACAAGGAACAAGUAAGUGCUAUGGAGCAGGACAGACAGCAGAACAGGGCAGUAAAUGAUUUGGUUAAAGAUAGUGCUAUGUGAAUAAUCUUGUCAAAGUGUGCAUGUGUUAUUUUCUGGUGUGUUUUGGCAAAUGAAAUUUGUAUGUUAUAAAUUAAGGUACUCACAAUAAACUGUAUUGUUUAGCAACGGCUGACAAGUACCCCCAGGUGUGAUCCUUCAUUGUGACCAGGUGAUGAUGCUGAACUGUUAGUUGCAUCCCAGUCUGUUUAAAUAUGUGAGAGUCAGAGUUAAGGCCACAACCAGGCUCCACCAUCAGCCAGCAGGCCACAGCCAGGGUCCAUCAUCAACCACUAGGCUGCAACCAGGCUCCAUCAAGAGCUAGGGAAGCUACAGGAAAAGGCAGGCCCAGAGUUAACAAGCCUCAGGAUUGAUUGGGGCUUCAGUAACAAAGGGGCACAAGUAUUGAGAAGAUGCCGCCUAAAAGAAGCAAUGUCAAUGAGAAGGAAGAAAUCUUUGAACUUUAUGUCAGAAGAAAUAACAAUCAUUGCAAAACAACAAAAAUUGACAAUAAGCUUAAUUGCCGAUAUUAAAGAAUUAAGAAGGCAGAGUGAGGAAAAGGACAAGAAAAUUGCUAUGUUGGAAGGAUGAGUGGCAGAGUUGGAACAAUAUUCAAGAAUAACCGAUGUGAUAGUAACGGGUCUGGAAACCAAGCACCAGACAUAUGCACGGGCAGCAGCAGAAGAGAGAGGGCAGCCGCCUGAGCAAGAGUUGCGCUGCCUAGAAGAACAGGUAAUGGCCUUUUUCAAUAGUAAAGGCAUUGAAAUGGAUAUUAAGGACACUGAGGGAUGCCAUACUCUUCCAAGGAAAAACAAGAAUUAAAAACCUGCCAUUAUUAUAAGAUUUGUUAAUAGGAAGCAGAAGAAAGAGCUACUGAAGCAAGGAAGAAAGUUGAAAGGAACGAAUGUAUAUGUUAAUGAACACCUAAUCAAGAAAAAACGCAGAUAUUACAAGACAAUCAAGAUUAUUAAGAAAACAGAAGAAAAUACAGUCAAGCUGGACAACAGACUGUAAGGUGUUCAUUAAGUUAAAUGGAACACCGGAGCAGCAAAGGUCUUAGUCAUUAAAGAGCUGACAGAAUUAGAAAAAUACGGCUGAUAAAAUGUAAGGAAAAGCAUUGGGAUGGUCAAUGGCACCUUAAAUGCACUGUCAAAUUGGUGGUUCUUGACUAAGACAAAGUAUUGUUAAAGGUGAUGGUGUGUGAAUAAGAUGUAUAAUGAAGUCAGAUGUCUGACGAAUUUCAAGUAACAAAUCAAAUGGAUGUUGAAAGUGGGACACUAGGGUAUGAUAGCAAUAUAGAUCC